rnacentral:rRNA from 1 species
UACGUAGGAGACGAGCGUUGUCCGGAAUUACUGGGCGUAAAGCGCGUGUAGGCGGAUGGGCAAGUCUGCUGUGAAAGCUCCUGGCUUAACCGGGAGUGGUCGGUGGAAACUGCCAAUCUGGAGGACGGUAGAGGUAGGUAGAAUUCCCGGUGUAGUGGUGAAAUGCGUAGAGAUCGGGAGGAAUACCUGUGGCGAAGGCGGCCUACUGGGCCGGACCUGACGCUGAGACGCGAAAGCGUGGGGAGCGAACAGG